rnacentral:rRNA from 1 species
AGAACGAACGCUGGCGGCAGGCUUAACACAUGCAAGUCGAACGCCCUCGCAAGGGGGAGUGGCAGACGGGUGAGUAACACGUGGGAACAUACCCUUUGGUUCGGAACAACGCCGGGAAACUGGCGCUAAUACCGGAUACGCCCUGACGGGGAAAGGCUUGCUGCCGAAGGAUUGGCCCGCGUUCGAUUAGCUUGUUGGUGAGGUAACGGCUCACCAAGGCGACGAUCGAUAGCUGGU